UACGGAGGGGGCUAGCGUUGUUCGGAAUUACUGGGCGUAAAGCGCGCGUAGGCGGACCUGCAAGUCGGGGGUGAAAGCCCGAGGCUCAACCUCGGAACUGCCUUCGAUACUGCGGGUCUCGAGUCCGGGAGGGGCGAGUGGAAUUCCUGGUGUAGCGGUGAAAUGCGCAGAUAUCAGGAGGAACACCAAUGGCGAAGGCAGCUCGCUGGAACGGUACUGACACUGAGGCGCGAAAGCGUGGGGAGCGAACAGG
rnacentral:rRNA from 1 species